rnacentral:rRNA from 1 species
GAGGUGUAACUUUCUCCAUGCAGUCGACGGCAGCACGGACUUCGGUCUGGUGGCGAGUGGCGAACGGGUGAGUAAUGUAUCGGAACGUGCCCAGUAGCGGGGGAUAACUACGCGAAAGCGUAGCUAAUACCGCAUACGCCCUACGGGGGAAAGCAGGGGAUCGCAAGACCUUGCACUAUUGGAGCGGCCGAUAUCGGAUUAGCUAGUUGGUGGGGUAACGGCUCACCAAGGCGACGAUCCGUAGCUGGUUUGAGAGGACGACCAGCCACACUGGGACUGAGACACGGCCCAGACUCCUACGGGAGGCAGCAGUGGGGAAUUUUGGACAAUGGGGGAAACCCUGAUCCAGCCAUCCCGCGUGUGCGAUGAAGGCCUUCGGGUUGUAAAGCACUUUUGGCAGGAAAGAAACGUCGCGGGUUAAUACCCCGCGAAACUGACGGUACCUGCAGAAUAAGCACCGGCUAACUACGUGCCAGCAGCCGCGGUAAUACGUAGGGUGCAAGCGUUAAUCGGAAUUACUGGGCGUAAAGCGUGCGCAGGCGUUCGGAAAGAAAGAUGUAAAUCCAGAGCUUAACUUGGACUGCAUUUUAACUCCGGCUAAGUGUGCAAGGAGUGAAUUCCGCGUGAGCAUGAUGCUAAUUCCGAGAACCCAUGCGAAGGAGCUCUGGAAACUGACGUCAGCCGAGCUGGGAGCAACGGUUAUCGGGUGAUCAA